rnacentral:rRNA from 1 species
AGUGAACGCUGGCGGCAGGCCUAACACAUGCAAGUCGAGCGGCAGCGGGUCCCCGCGAGGGGAUGCCGGCGAGCGGCGGACGGGUGAGGAACACAUCGGAAUCUGCCUGGUUGUGGGGGAUAACGUAGGGAAACUUACGCUAAUACCGCAUGCGACCCUGAGUCGACGGACUGGGGGUGAAAGUGAGGGACCUUCGGGCCUCACGCGACCAGAUGAGCCGAUGUCGGAUUAGCUAGUUGGCGGGGUAACGGCCCGCCAAGGCGACGAUCCGUAGCUGGUCUGAGAGGAUGAUCAGCCACACUGGGACUGAGACACGGCCCAGACUCCUAC